rnacentral:rRNA from 1 species
AGGGAAUUUUGCGCAAUGGGGGAAACCCUGACGCAGCAACGCCAUGUGUGGGAUGAAGCAUUUCGGUGUGUAAACCACUGUCAGCAGGGAAUAAACGGCAGCUUUGGGCUGCUUUGAAUGUACCUGCAAAGGAAGCCCCGGCUAACUUCGUGCCAGCAGCCGCGGUAAUACGAGGGGGGCAAAUGUUGUUCGGAAUCACUGGGCGUAAAGGGAGCGUAGGCGGGUUUCUAAGUAAGGUGUUUAAUCCCGGGGCCCAACCCCGGACAGGCAUUUUAAACUGGGAAUCUUGAAUAGUGGAGAGGUCAGUGGAAUUGGGGGUGUAGCGGUGGAAUGCGUAGAGAUCCCCAAGAACACCAGUUGCGAAGGCGGCUGACUGGACACAUAUUGACGCUGAGGCUCGAAAGCAUGGGGAGCAAAC